rnacentral:lncRNA from 7 species
ACCCAGUCCAACCAUCCACCCAUCACCAAUAGUUCUCACUAAACCAUGUCCCUCAAUACAACAUCCAAAUGCUCCUUGAACACCUCCAGGGUCGGUGACUCCACCACCUCCCUGGGCAGCUAAUUCCAGUGCCUAAUCUUCACUGAAUCUUCAUUCAGUAUAGCAAAGCCCAUCUUUGGAUACAAAACUUACUGUCUUGUUCUGGUUGCUUCUUAUAUAAGAUGUGUCCGUUUUAACUUUUGAUGAUACCUGAAGGUUCAUUCAGUCAAUCUACCAGCUUUCUGUGAGAAAUUAAGGACUGCAGCAGCACUUUUGACAUAGCCAAGAGACCUGUGAAAAUGGAUUGACUGAGAAAGAAGUAGAAGGAAGGCGUAGCAGUAACAACACUUCAUUUCCAAAGUGGAAAGGCUGUUAGAUGUGAUCCCUAAGAAUUCCCAUGCUCCAAGAAAUUCUGCUUCUGAGUAAGACUGAUGUAACCAGGGAGUAUCCUUUGCAGCUACCUCUGGCAGAGAGAUGAUGAAGGCACAGUGGGUCAUGGUCUCUUCUGCAUCGAGCAACUGCUGUGCAAUUGUCAGAAAAAGAAAUACAUCAAACAAUCAGGACUUUAUAAAGGAACAAGCUGCAUAUGACCGGGUCUUGAUCUACCUUAGCCCUGCAAAGAAAAUACUUUGGUAUUUCCCUGUAAUGUUGAUGCUGAAUUUUUACAAAGGUUGUAGUUCUGUUUUCAAAGGCUUGGCUUAAACUCCAGCUGCACAACACAAAGUAGUGCAGAGUAAAUUGUGCCACUGCACCACAAUUGGGUUUCCUUUUUAAGACACUGGCAAGGGCUUCUGAGAAGCUGUUGUUCCCAGCAGCUCAUGUGAAUCCUGCAUUCACCUUGUUCUCUUCAGUCGCACACUACAGAGACUUGCAGAUUGCCUCCACCUUUUUCCAGUCUGCUUACAUCCUUCCAUGUGGGAUUUGGCAGCAAGAGGCUUCACCUAAGGAAGAGGAUGAGUAUCGUCUCUCCCUUGUAGAUUUUCUUUGAAAGGAUCUACAAAGAGUUUAUACUCAUUAUAUAAAUCUCUGGUCUUCAGAUUACUAAAGGAAAGCUUUCAUACAUAUAUGUCUCUGUGCCAUUACACUUUGCUUGACAUUCAGUUCUGAGUCAUUUAGCUGCUCUUUUUCUCUGCUAUUUUUCCCUCUGAAUGUUCUCACUGAGAGCCAGCUUCAGACCAGCAAUCAGUACUGAAAAUUGUAUAACUAUAUGAACUCAGGUAAAUUGGGACCGUCAGCAUACUGCAACAUGUGAUUUAUUUAAGUGGAUGUAGAAGCAAACGAUGCCUCUAAGUAAGUCCUUUACACACUGGUCCAGGUCGUGUGACUACACCCAAUCCCCCACUGUAUUUCUAGCUUUGUAAAUGUGUGUAAACACAUGCCUGCCUAGGAUGUACUAAUUAAACAGCAAAACACACAGCAGACACAAAAUUUUGCCUUUGACCGCUUACAUCUAAUGCCAUUUGACAUGAAUUAUUGCCUGUCAUUUUGUUCUGUGAUACAUCAAAGUAAUCUCACGCUUUUACUAGACAACUAUGAUUACAGCAGAGCUACGAUGCACACAAUAAAUCCACCUUUUACCUGUCUU